UACGUAGGGUGCAAGCGUUAAUCGGAAUUACUGGGCGUAAAGCGUGCGCAGGCGGUUGUGUAAGACAGAUGUGAAAUCCCCGGGCUCAACCUGGGAACUGCAUUUGUGACUGCACGGCUGGAGUGCGGCAGAGGGGGAUGGAAUUCUGCGUGUAGCAGUGAAAUGCGUAGAUAUGCGGAGGAACACCGAUGGCGAAGGCAAUCCCCUGGGCCUGCACUGACGCUCAUGCACGAAAGCGUGGGGAGCAAACAGG
rnacentral:rRNA from 1 species